AGUGAACGCUGGCGGUAGGCCUAACACAUGCAAGUCGAACGGCAGCACAGUAAGAGCUUGCUCUUACGGGUGGCGAGUGGCGGACGGGUGAGGAAUACAUCGGAAUCUACUUUUUCGUGGGGAUAACGUAGGGAAACUUACGCUAAUACCGCAUACGACCUACGGGUGAAAGCAGGGGAUCUUCGGACCUUGCGCGAUUGAAUGAGCCGAUGUCGGAUUAGCUAGUUGGCGGGGUAAAGGCCCACCAAGGCGACGAUCCGUAGCUGGUCUGAGAGGAUGAUCAGCCACACUGGAACUGAGACACGGUCCAGACUCCUACGGGAGGCAGCAGUGGGGAAUAUUGGACAAUGGGCGCAAGCCUGAUCCAGCCAUACCGCGUGGGUGAAGAAGGCCUUCUGGUUGUAAAGCCCUUUUGUUGGGAAAGAAAAGCAGCAGGUUAAUACCCCGCUGUUCUGACGGUACCCAAAGAAUAAGCACCGGCUAACUUCGUG
rnacentral:rRNA from 1 species